rfam:Thermaerobacter marianensis DSM 12885, complete genome.
GCGGGCGUGGCGGAACGGCAGACGCGCCAGACUUAGGAUCUGGUGGGUUCGUCCCGUGGGAGUUCGAGUCUCCCCGCCCGCA